rnacentral:rRNA from 1 species
UACAGAGGGGGCAAGCGUUGUUCGGAAUUACUGGGCGUAAAGGGCGCGUAGGCGGCCUGCUAAGUCGAACGUGAAAUCCCCGGGCUCAACCCGGGAACUGCGUCCGAUACUGGCUGGCUUGAAUUCGGGAGAGGGAUGCGGAAUUCCAGGUGUAGCGGUGAAAUGCGUAGAUAUCAGGAGGAACACCGAUGGCGAAGGCAGGUCUCUGGGCUGACACUGACGCUCAUGCACGAAAGCGUGGGGAGCAAACAGG